rnacentral:rRNA from 1 species
GAUGAACGUUGGCGGCGUGCCUAAUACAUGCAAGUCGAACGGGAAGCCUUAACGUAAGUUGAGGUGGAGAGUGGCGCACGGGUGAGUAACACAUGGCUGACCUGCCCCCCAGAGGGGGAUAACCACUGGAAACGGUGGCUAAUACCCCGUAUGCUCACGAUGGUUAGAGACGUUGUGAGGAAAGGCCGAGGUGCUGGGGGAGGGGGCUGUGGUCCAUCAGCUAGUUGGUAGGGUAAAGGCCUACCAAGGCGAUGACGGAUAGGGGGCCUGAGAGGGUGGUCCCCCCACAUGGGCACUGAGAGACGGGCCCAACUCCUACGGGAGGCAGCAGUAAAGGGAUAUUGCGCGAUGGGCGAAAGCCUGACGCAGCAACGCCGCGUGCGGGAUGAAGGCCUUCGGGUUGUAAACCGCUUUUCUGGGAGAAGAGGGAGGACGGUAUCCCGGGAAUAAGUCUCGGCUAACUACGUGCCAGCAGCCGCGGUAAAACGUAGGAGGCGAACGUUAUCCGGAUUUACUGGGUGUAAAGCGCGUGUAGGCGGUCGUUUAAGCUGUGCGCGAAAGCGUUCAGGCUCAACCGGGCGAGGACGUACAGGACUGGGCGACUAGAGGCAGGUAGAGGCGUGUGGAAUUCCGGGUGUAGCGGUGAAAUGCGUAGAGAUCCGGAGGAACACCAGUGGCGAAGGCGGCACGCUGGGCCUGAACUGACGCUGAGACGCGAAAGCAUGGGGAGCGAACGGGAUUAGAAACCCCGGUAGUCCAUGCUGUAAACGAUGCAGACUAGGUGUUGGGUGUAGAAGCUCAGUGCCGAGGCGAACGUGAUAAGUCUGCCACCUGGGGAGUACGGUCGCAAGGUUAAAACUCAAAGGAAUUGACGG